rnacentral:rRNA from 1 species
GACGAACGCUGGCGGCGUGCUUAACACGUGCAAGUCGAACGGGCUCUGUCUGGCUGUGUGCUGGGUGGGGUUAGUGGCGAACGGGUGAGUAAUACGUGAGUAACCUGCCCUCUUCUUUGGGAUAAGCCUUGGAAACGGGGUCUAAUACUGGAUAUUCCUGUCUGGUCGCAUGGCUGGGUGGGGAAAGUUUUUUUCGGUGGGGGAUGGGCUCGCGGCCUAUCAGCUUGUUGGUGGGGUGAUGGCCUACCAAGGCGUCGACGGGUAGCCGGCCUGAGAGGGUGACCGGCCACACUGGGACUGAGAUACGGCCCAGACUCCUACGGGAGGCAGCAGUGGGGGAUAUUGCACAAUGGGCGCAAGCCUGAUGCAGCGACGCCGCGUGGGGGAUGACGGCUUUCGGGUUGUAAACCUCUUUCGUCGGGGGACAAGGCUCUGCUUGGUGGUGGGGUUGAGGGUACCCGGUGAAGAAGCGCCGGCUAACUACGUG